rnacentral:rRNA from 1 species
GACGUAGGGCGCGAGCGUUGUCCGGAUUUAUUGGGCGUAAAGAGCUCGUAGGCGGCCCGUUGCGUCGGCUGUGAAAACCCGCAGCUCAACUGUGGGCUUGCAGCUGAUACGGGCGGGCUGGGAUUCGGUAGGGGAGACUGGAAUUCCUGGUGUAGCGGUGAAAUGCGCAGAUAUCAGGAGGAACACCGGUGGCGAAGGCGGGUCUCUGGGCCGAUAUCGACGCUGAGGAGCGAAAGCGUGGGGAGCGAACAGG